AACGAACGCUGGCGGCAGGCUUAACACAUGCAAGUCGAGCGCCCCGCAAGGGGAGCGGCAGACGGGUGAGUAACGCGUGGGAAUCUACCCAUCUCUACGGAAUAACGCAUGGAAACGUGUGCUAAUACCGUAUACGUCCUUCGGGAGAAAGAUUUAUCGGAGAUGGAUGAGCCCGCGUUGGAUUAGCGAGUUGGCGGGGUAACGGCCUACCAAGGCGACGAUCCAUAGCUGGUCUGAGAGGAUGAUCAGCCACACUGGGACUGAGACACGGCCCAGACGCGUACGGGAGGCAGCAGUUGGGAAUAUUGGACAAGGGGCGCAAGCCUGAUCCAGCCAUGCCGCAUGAGUGAUGAAGGCCCUAGGGUUGUAAAGCUCUUUCACCGGUGAAGAUAAUGACGGUAACCGGAGAAGAAGCCCCGGCUAACUUCGUGCCAGCAGCCGCGGUAACAC
rnacentral:rRNA from 1 species